rnacentral:rRNA from 1 species
GACGAACCGUGCGAACGUUGUUCGGAAUCACUGGGCUUAAAGGGCGCGUAGGCGGGCUGUCCAGUCUGGGGUGAAAUCCCGCGGCUCAACCGUGGAACUGCCUCAGAUACUGACGGCCUCGAGGAAGAUAGGGGCAUGCGGAACUGUAGGUGGAGCGGUGAAAUGCGUUGAUAUCUACAGGAACUCCGGUGGCGAAGGCGGCGUGCUGGAUCUCUUCUGACGCUGAGGCGCGAAAGCUAGGGGAGCAAACGGG